rnacentral:lncRNA from 1 species
GCUGGAGAAGGUGCCCUGCCACCUAGCUUGAGCCAAGUAUAGUUAAUCAGCCAAACUCUCUCAACGCCUGGAGAGAGAACCAAUCAAUCAAGGGAAAGACAGACUUCCAGUAAAAAGCCUGGUCCAGAUCAGAAGUUGUUUUCUCUGCUGGAAAGAUGUGGAUUGAAGUUGUUUCUUUCGGCCUCAAGAACGGAAUUAAAGGUGUGACGUCCACGUCGCAGAUUUAGACCAGAAACAGAUCUUUACUCUUCAGAUUUAAUAAUCAUCCCUCCCAGGUUGAAGUGCACAGGCAGCUUGCUUCUGCACUCUUGCAGGUCUCCCUUCCCCCACCCUAGGCCCUCUCC